GACGAACGCUGGCGGCGUGCUUAACACAUGCAAGUCGAACGGAAAGGCCCUGCUUUUGUGGGGUGCUCGUGUGGCGAACGGGUGAGUAACACGUGAGUAACCUGCCCUUGACUUUGGGAUAACUUCAGGAAACUCGGGCUAAUACCGGAUAGGAGCUCCUGCUGCAUGGUGGGGGUUGGAAAGUUUCGGCUGUUGGGGCUGGACUCGCGGCUUAGCAGCUUGUUGGUGGGGUAGUGGUUUACCAAGGUUUUGACGGGUAGCCGGCCUGAGAGGGGGACCGGCGACAAUGGGACUGAGGGACGGACCAGAAUCGUACGGGAGGCAGCAGGGGGGAAUAUGGCACAAUGGGCGGAAGCCUGAUGCAGCGACGCCGCGUGCGGGAUGACGGCCUUCGGGUGGUAAACCGCUUUCGACUGUGACGAAGCGUGAGUGACGGUAAUGAGUAAAGAAGCACCGGCUAACUACGUG
rnacentral:rRNA from 1 species